UCUCCGUUGGUGAACCAGCGGAGGGACCAUUACCGAGUUAUCAACUCCCAAACCCCUGUGAACAUACCCAACGUUGCUUCGGCGGGUCCGCCCCGGCGCCCUCGGCGUCCCGGAACCAGGCGCCCGCCGGAGGACCCAAACUCUUGUUUAAACCAUAGUGGCAUAUUCUGAGUCUCACAAGAAAAAUGAAUCAAAACUUUCAACAACGGAUCUCUUGGCUCUG
rnacentral:misc_RNA from 1 species